GUGUCAGCAGCCGCGGUAAUACGGAGGGUGCGAGCGUUGUUCGGAAUUACUGGGCGUAAAGCGCGUGUAGGCGGCCUCUUAAGUCUGGUGUGAAAGCCCGGGGCUCACCCCCGGAAGUGCACUGGAUACUGAGAGGCUCGAGUACCGGAGAGGAGGGUGGAAUUCCUGGUGUAGCGGUGAAAUGCGUAGAUAUCAGGAGGAACACCGGUGGCGAAGGCGGCCCUCUGGACGGAUACUGACGCUGAGACGCGACAGCGUGGGGAGCAAACAGGAUUAGAUACCCCCGUAGUCC
rnacentral:rRNA from 1 species